rnacentral:rRNA from 1 species
ACGGUGAGUAACGCGUGGGUAACCUGCCUCAUACAGGGGGAUAACAGUUGGAAACGNCUGCUAAUACCGCAUAAGCACACAGUGCCGCAUGGUACGGUGUGAAAAACUCCGGUGGUAUGAGAUGGACCCGCGUCUGAUUAGGUAGUUGGUGAGGUAACGGCCCACCAAGCCGACGAUCAGUAGCCGACCUGAGAGGGUGACCGGCCACAUUGGGACUGAGACACGGCCCAAACUCCUACGGGAGGCAGCAGUGGGGAAUAUUGGACAAUGGGGGAAACCCUGAUCCAGCGACGCCGCGUGAGUGAAGAAGUAUUUCGGUAUGUAAAGCUCUAUCAGCAGGGAAGAAAAUGACGGUACCUGACUAAGAAGCCCCGGCUAACUACUGU